GUCAUGUAGACAUCCGAUGAAAUUGGAAUAGCGAUAUAGAGAAGAUUAGCAUAACCCUAUGCAAGGAUGACACGCAUAAAUCGAGAAAUGGUCAAAAUUUUU